AUUGAACGCUGGCGGCAUGCCUUACACAUGCAAGUCGAACGGCAGCAUGAUCUAGCUUGCUAGAUUGAUGGCGAGUGGCGCACGGGUGAGUAAUACAUCGGAACAUGCCCUGUAGUGGGGGAUAACUAGUCGAAAGAUUAGCUAAUACCGCAUACGACCUGAGGGUGAAAGUGGGGGACCGCAAGGCCUCAUGCUAUAGGGGCGGCCGAUGUCUGAUUAGCUAGUUGGUGGGGUAAAGGCUCACCAAGGCGACGAUCAGUAGCUGGUCUGAGAGGACGAUCAGCCACACUGGAACUGAGACACGGCCCAGACUCCUACGGGAGGCAGCAGUGGGGAAUAUUGGACAAUGGGCGAAAGCCUGAUCCAGCAAUGCCGCGUGUGUGAAGAAGGCCUUCGGGUUGUAAAGCACUUUUGUCCGGAAAGAAAUGGCUCUGGUUAAUACCUGGGGUCGAUGACGGUACCGGAAGAAUAAGGACCGGCUAACUACGUG
rnacentral:rRNA from 1 species